GUGACAAUCGGUCUGCGCGGGCGCAGUGGCGGCAGCCGCUGCACCCGCGUGGCUAGAAGCCCACGGUCUGCAGGCGAGUUGAGGUUUCAGGUCAUUCCAGCUUCGGCCGUGGGGCCCCGCUCAGACGCGCGCCUGUCUCCUGGUGAAAUCCUGGAGGCUGUCCUUUCCACCGUCCUGUCUGCACGAGGAGGACACAGGGGUCAGCUUCCUGGGAGAAGGGAGUCGUCCGGAUGGCUGGUCCCCGGAGGGAUGACUUACUGCAUGAACAUCGAAAUCAGAUGAACCCUGACGGCGACAGCGAUGAUAUCGCCACCUCCUCCUUCCUCCUGCUCCACCUGAGCCUCUGCUUCCUCUGCGGAGAACCUUGUGCCCAGGAAUCCACCUAAAUCCAGAUAUCGCCACCUCCUCCUUCCUCCUGCUCCACCUGAGCCUCUGCUUCCUCUGCGGAGAACCUUGUGCCCAGGAAUCCACCUAAAUCCAGAUAUCGCCACCUCCUCCUUCCUCCUGCUCCACCUGAGCCUCUGCUUCCUCUGCGGAGAACCUUGUGCCCAGGAAUCCACCUAAAUCCAGAUAUCGCCACCUCCUCCUUCCUCCUGCUCCACCUGAGCCUCUGCUUCCUCUGCGGAGAACCUUGUGCCCAGGAAUCCACCUAAAUCCAGAUAUCGCCACCUCCUCCUUCCUCCUGCUCCACCUGAGCCUCUGCUUCCUCUGCGGAGAACCUUGUGCCCAGGAAUCCACCUAAAUCCAGUCCAUGAAAGCUUUUUCUUCCCUCCCACCUGAGCCUCUUUCUGUGCUGCCAGAACCUGUUGCAAGGAAGAUACUUCAAACAGAGGUCUCCGCAGCCUCUGUCUUCCCUCUGUAGCUGAGCUGCUUCUGCCUCUGCAGGACUCCACUUGAAGGAAGCUGUCUAAAUCCAUGUAAGAGAUCUCCUCGUAUUUUUUUCCCUCCCCCCUGAGGCUCUUCCUCCUCACCAGACACCUGUUCCAAGGAAGCUCCUGCAACAAGGGUGUGGGCUUGUGUCGUGAAGGUUGAGUAUCCAGAGUGACAGUGAAGAAUCCAUACUCCCACCCAAGAGUGGAUUUCAGUGUGCCUGAGAGGAAGAAGAGGAAGACAUCCUGCUGGCAUGUGCCCCAGGUCAGGGUGGGGUGGGCUAUGCACAUGGCUGAGCUCUUUUUCUCCAGAGAUGCCCACAACCUUCAUAUUUCCACUGCCCCUGAGCCACUUCCACCUCUGCGUGACACCCUUUGAAGGAAGCUCUCUCCAUCCAUGUAAGGUGAAUCACGGCUGGGUUGUUUAGUGUUCCAAGAGAUCUCUACCUCCUCCUUCCUCCUGUUCCUCCUCUGUGGGGGAGCCUGUCAAGGAACCUACCUCAAUUCAGGGAGUGUGAAUGACGCCUGGGAGGUCCUGGAUCUCAAGCCAGAGAUCUCAAGCUUUUCCUUCCCUCCCACCUGAUCCUCUCCCUCCUCCGCCAGACACCUGCUGCAGGGAGGUCCUAAAACCAGCUCAGCCCCCCUGGGGCUGCCCUGGCCUUGGACACCCCCCAGCUGGAUUUGGUUCCAGAUCUGCUUCUCAACCCAAGGAAAUGCCCUACAGACGGAGUCAUGACUUUCUCCAAGUCUCCCAGUGCACACCCCACCCUAGACCACCCACUACCUGAAAUCUGUCAGAGGCCCCACAUUUUCAAUCUUGUGAGGAGGAUUUACAACAAUCAGCAUCGGAGUUCCCGUCAUGGCGCAGUGGUUAACGAAUCCGACUAGGAACCAUGAGGUUGCGGGUUCGGUCCCUGCCCUUGCUCAGUGGGUUAACGAUCCGGCGUUGCCGUGAGCUGUGGUGUAGGUUGCAGACGCGGCUCAGAUCCUGCAUUGCUCCACUGGCCUACACCAGAGCAACAAUAGUGCAGGAUCCGAGCCAUGUCUGCAACCUACACUACAGCUCAUGGCAAAGCUGGAUCCUUAAACUGCUGAGGGAGGCCAGGGAUUGAACCCACAUCCUCAUGGUUGCUAGUCAGGUUCACUAACCACUGAGCAUGAUGGGAAUUCCCUGAAGGCAGUCAGAAUUCUUUUUUUUUUUUAGGGCUGCACCCAUGGCAUAUGGAGGUUCCCAGGCUAGGGAUCAAAUCAGAGCUGUAGCCGCCGGCCUACACCACAGCCACAGCAAUGCCAGAUCCAAGCCUCAUCUGCAGCCUACACCAUAGCUCAUGGCAAUGCUGGAUCCUUAACCCACUAAGCAAGGCCAGGGAUUGAACCCAAAACCUCAUGGUUCCUAGUUCUCCAUGACGGGAACUCCCAGUCAGAGUUCUUGACAGCAUGUCCAGUCAUGUGGACUUCAGGCUCCCUGAGCUGUCUGAAAGUGACCCAGAGAUGACAAGGUCCUUCCUAUCAGGUGAGUUAAUUUAGACCUGAGAGUGAGAGGUGACCUAUAACCUAGCCCCCCUCACAAGGCAGACCCCAGAGGGACCCAAACCACCGGCUUGAACCGCACCUCUGCGCUGGGACGCGCCCAUGCCAAGCCACUGGGUGUGUCAAGCUCCUCGUCCUGUAGUGGCCAUCACGACUCCCGGCCAGUCUCGUCCCACACCUCUGUCUCCUGACACCACCUGGUUCCGCGGGCACUGCCCUUAAGCACCUGGGAGCCUGGUGGGGUCCUCCCGUCUCUCUCUCAGACUCUGAGGCCUGCGGAGGACAGUGUUUCCCCAAGUCCUCCACAUGCCUCCCUGCUCCCUGUGUGUCAGCCCUCCUUUGAGUCCAUCAGGGGGACACACUUCGAGUCAGGCAUCCUGAUUCACCCACCCUGCCCCGCCUCACCAGCCUUUACUCUGUGUCACCUGGAUUCAGGUAAGAUGUGCCCUCAGGGGUGCUCAAAAGGCAGGAGAGGCCAGAUGGAGGAAGAUCUAAGGAACAAUGCAGCGCACCCCCAAGAGAGAGGGCUCCUGCAUAAGGACAGCCCGCCCACCACAAGACGUCAGCUUUUACACACACUCUUCAUUGACGACCAGCAGCCCAGCUCUCCAGAGGCCAAGCCCUGGACCCUGGAAAACUGCAGGCCCCAAACCCCAGCCAGCCACCUGCGUGCUAACACUCCUACUUCUGGAGAACCCCAAGGCCCUGUGGACCCCAGUGGCACAUACAACGAUGUGGGCUUUGGGUUGGCUGAGUCGACUGAACCUGACCAUGACAUUUGGAGGGCAGAACAUGUUCCCUUUUACCGGGUGUGCCAGUUCAGACGGGAGUCACCUGAGGCCUGUACGCAACCUCUUUUCGAAGGACAUCUCCUGGGGGAUCCUCCCAUCCCCGUCUUGAAACCUUUUUCUUUUUUUUGUCUUUUUACCUUUUCUAGGGCCACUUCCCAUGGCAUAUGGAGGUUCCCAGGCUAGGGAUCUAAUUGGAGUUGUAGCCACCAGCCUACACCAGAGCCACAGCCACAGCAACGCUGGAUCGGAGCUGCAUCUGUGACCUACACCACAGCCAGAUCCUUAACCCACUGAGCAAGGCCAGGGAUCGAACCCGCAACCUCAUGGUUCCUAGUCGGAUUCAAUAACCACUGCGCCACAACAGGAACCCUGAAACCCAUCUUUUAACCUGGAGGUGAUACUACCAAGCCUCGGCUGGGCUUGAAACGUGUUUUGGCGCCCUCUGGUGGCCAUUCUCUCUAAUGACAACUCACAGCCCUGCCUCCAGCUUCCUGAACAGGAAAGAAUGCCCUUGGCUUGUGCUCCAAAUAGUUGAUUUACUCCCUCCUCUCACUCUAAGAACAAUCCUGCUCUUUCUAGGGACAUUAUCAUUCUCUCAAAGUCAGCUAUGGCACUCACUCCUCCCAAUCCUUCCCCACUCUCUAAAUCCUUGAGUCGAACCCAUCCAAAUCUGGUGACAGGAUUUCAAUGAAUCCUGUUCCCCAUUCUUCAUUUCUGGGUUUUGGCCAGAGGUUUGUUUUUCCUCUCGGGGGGGGAAAUUAGAGGAGGGGAGAGGCUCUGAACAAAGGAAAAGAAACUUUUCAGAGAAUCCUCAAGAGACCCAUCUCUGGGAUGAAUGCAGCCAGUGGGCUGAUCAAGGAAGCACGGGUUUAGUGCAUUCAAUUCACAAGCACCCACCCACCUGUCCUGAGGGCAAACCCUGCAGAAGCCUGAUUGGGAGCACUGAAAGCAUAGUCCUCAGUCUCAUGCUUUUUGGCUGAGAUGUCAGCCUCUGCGGAAGCCGAAGGCCAUCAGAACUCUAGACGGCCUGUCCAAUCAUCUGGAAUUUAGGCUUCACUAGCUAUCUGAAAGUGACCCACAGAUGAUAAGAGCAGGACAAGUCCUUCCUAUCAGGUGAGUUAAUUUAGACCUGUAACCUAGCCCUCCUGCCAAGGCAUGUCCCGUGGGGAUCCACUUCACCCAAUUCCAGCCUCACCUCUGGGCUGGGAUUUGCCAAUGCCAAGCAGCUGCUGGGCCCUGUCAGUGCUCUGUCGCCCUCUGGUGGCCACCCCCUCAAAUAACAACUCAGAGCCCUUCCUCCUGCCUCCUGACCAAAGCCGUGGAUGCGCUGCACCCUCCUCCUUCAGCUGAAGGCUGAACUCCCUCCUACUCUCAUCCUAAGUUCCACCUUGUGCCUUACAGAGGCCAGAAGUCUCUCUCAAAGUCUCCUGGGACUCUCCAUCAUCCGGCCUAUCCAACCCAAUGCCCUACAUUAUCAGCUGAUUCCACUUCAAGUCAGCUCAACAGCUGGAAAUCCAUAAGCCUGCAUUAAUACAUGUGACCUAGUACACACUCUGGUUAGUUCCUCAGGAAUAAGUUGCAGGAAGCAGUGGGGCAGGUAGACAAAGAAAAAAAAAAGAAACUCUAGGGAAUAAUUUGAGACUUAAAUCCCAGGAAGGAGCACAUCCCGGCCAGCCCAAGAUGCCACUUCUACACACUCCAUUCAGGUCCUCAAGCGCUGCUUUCCAGAUGCCACCUCUGACCAAGCCCCAUUUUGGUAAAGGGACAUAUGCAAGGCUCAAACCAAGUACCUGUGAAUUCUGGGUUUUCAUGCUGCAGAACCCAGAGGCUGUAAGACCCCGCCCCCCC
rnacentral:lncRNA from 9 species